rnacentral:rRNA from 1 species
CGGGACGGGUGAGUAAUGUCUGGGAAACUGCCUGAUGGAGGGGGAUAACUACUGGAAACGGUAGCUAAUACCGCAUAACGUCUUCGGACCAAAGUGGGGGACCUUCGGGCCUCACGCCAUCGGAUGUGCCCAGAUGGGAUUAGCUAGUAGGUGGGGUAAUGGCUCACCUAGGCGACGAUCCCUAGCUGGUCUGAGAGGAUGACCAGCCACACUGGAACUGAGACACGGUCCAA